rnacentral:rRNA from 1 species
GUACGCCUGUCGGCGACCGGCGCACUGGUGAGUAACACGUAUGCGACCUGCCCCCUACAGGGGUAUAACCCGUAGAAAUGCGGACUAAUCCCCCAUAGUCCUGGGUGCUGCAUGGCAUUCAGGGGAAAGGCCAGCCGGUAGGGGAUGGGCAUGCGGCGCAUUAGCUAGUUGGCGGGGCAACGGCCCACCAAGGCGACGAUGCGUAGGGGUUCUGAGAGGAAGGUCCCCCACACUGGUACUGAGACACGGACCAGACUCCUACGGGAGGCAGCAGUGAGGAAUAUUGGUCAAUGGGCGCAGGCCUGAACCAGCCAAGUCGCGUGAGGGAAGACGGUCCUACGGAUUGUAAACCUCUUUUGUCGGGGAGUAACGUGCGGGACGCGUCCCGUAUUGAGAGUACCCGAAGAAAAAGCAUCGGCUAACUCCGUGCCAGCAGCCGCGGUAAUACGGAGGAUGCGAGCGUUAUCCGGAUUUAUUGGGUUUAAAGGGUGCGCAGGCGGCGCGCCAAGUCAGCGGUCAAAGUUCCGGGCUCAACCCGGUGUCGCCGUUGAAACUGGCGUGCUCGAGUGCGUGCGAGGAAGGCGGAAUGCGUUGUGUAGCGGUGAAAUGCAUAGAUAUGACGCAGAACUCCGAUUGCGAAGGCA